rnacentral:rRNA from 1 species
CCUACGGGCGGCAGCAGUGAGGAAUAUUGGUCAAUGGACGGAAGUCUGAACCAGCCAUGCCGCGUGCAGGAAGACGGCCCUAUGAGUUGUAAACUGCUUUUGUACAAGGGUAAACCUGAAUACGUGUAUUCAGCUGAAAGUACUGUACGAAUAAGGAUCGGCUAACUCCGUGCCAGCAGCCGCGGUAAUACGGAGGAUCCAAGCGUUAUCCGGAUUUAUUGGGUUUAAAGGGUGCGUAGGCGGAGUGAUAAGUUAGCUGUGAAAUGUCCGAGCUUAACUCGGGAACUGCCUCUAAUACUGUUGGUCUAGAGAGUAGAUGCGGUAGGCGGAAUGUAUGGUGUAGCGGUGAAAUGCUUAGAGAUCAUACAGAACACCGAUUGCGAAGGCAGGUGACCAAGCUGUAUCUGACGUUGAGGCACGAAAGCGUGGGGAGCAAACAGGAUUAGAUACCCUUGUAGUC